AUUGAACGCUGGCGGCAGGCCUAACACAUGCAAGUCGAGCGAGUGGCGGACGGGUGAGUAAUGUAUGGGGAUCUGCCUGAUAGAGGGGGAUAACUACUGGAAACGGUGGCUAAUACCGCAUACCAUCAGAUGAGCCCAGAUGGGAUUAGCGAGUAGGUGGGGUAACGGCUCACCUAGGCGACGAUCUCUAGCUGGUCUGAGAGGAUGACCAGCCACACUGGGACUGAGACACGGCCCAGACUCCUACGGGAGGCAGCAGUGGGGAAUAUUGCACAAUGGGCGCAAGCCUGAUGCAGCCAUGCCGCGUGUAUGAAGAAGGCCUUAGGGUUGUAAAGUACUUUCAGCGGGGAGGCGUUACCCGCAGAAGAAGCACCGGCUAACUCCGUGCCAGCAGCCGCGGUAAUAC
rnacentral:rRNA from 1 species